GAUGAACGCUGGCGGCGUGCCUAAUACAUGCAAGUCGAGCGAACAGAUGAGGAGCUUGCUCCUCUGACGUUAGCGGCGGACGGGUGAGUAACACGUGGAUAACCUACCUAUAAGACUGGGAUAACUUCGGGAAACCGGAGCUAAUACCGGAUAAUAUAUUGAACCGCAUGGUUCAAUAGUGAAAGACGGUUUUGCUGUCACUUAUAGAUGGAUCCGCGCCGCAUUAGCUAGUUGGUAAGGUAACGGCUUACCAAGGCAACGAUGCGUAGCCGACCUGAGAGGGUGAUCGGCCACACUGGAGCUGAGACACGGUCCAGACUCCUACGGGAGGCAGCAGUAGGAAUCUUCCGCAAUGGGCGAAAGCCUGACGGAGCAACGCCGCGUGAGUGAUGAAGGUCUUCGGAUCGUAAAACUCUGUUAUUAGGGAAGAACAAAUGUGUAAGUAACUAUGCACGUCUUGACGGUACCUAAUCAGAAAGCCACGGCUAACUACGUG
rnacentral:rRNA from 1 species